AAAACUGCUAGCCGUUGUGCCGUUAGGUGUACCGUGGCUUCUUGGGCGGCCCCGGUUUUUACCCCCCGGGCGCCCCUGGUCCCGCCGCGGGGGCCCGCCCUACGUCACCUUUUCGUGAUAAUUUUGGCCUCUCUGAUACUUCUGUACUGAAAAAGAUUCAACGUUCUCUACGGAUCUCUUGAUUCUGGCAUCUAUGAAAAACACCUCUUGAUGCUCUAAUCAAUGAGAAUUGCAGAAUUCUGUGAAUCAUCAAGUCUUUUAACGAACUUUGCGCCCCCCAGCAUUCUGGAGGGCAUGCCUGUUCCAGCGUCAUUUCAACCAUCAUGCCCGCUGGAUUGUGUUGGGGACCUGCGGCUGCCGCAGGCCCUGUGAUGGCUUGCAUGCUCGCUGUCGCACCGAGCGUAAUAGCAUGCUUCUCGCUCUGGACGCGCCGCGGGUUCCGGGCGUUAAACCCCCUUGUUGACCCAAUGAUGACCUCCGAGCAUGUAAGAAUAGCCGCUGAACUUAGUCUUAUCUGCUUCCGGACGACAACAAACCAACAGGGAUUGCCCUACCUAACGGCGAGUGAGACGGCAACAGCUCACUUUUGAAAUCUGGCUUCCGCACGAGUUGAAAUUUGCAGAGAAUCCUCUAGGCGCUGCACCUUCUGAGUCCCCUGGACCGGUUCGCCAUAUAGCAUGAGAUGCUCGUAUAAUUGGAUGCCUAGACUGUGAAUAGCUCCUUCGAAGAGUGUAGUAGUUUGGUGAUGCUGAUCAAAAUGGGGGGGUGAGAAUCCUCUAAAUGACACGGCCUGCCAGAGACUUUAUAGAUGCACUCUCAGAGUGAUCGAAAUGAUUGAAACUGCUUCUCAAAGAGGGUUAAAUAGCACGUCAAAUUGCUAGAUAGUGGACGCGCUUGCGACAGACAUGAGCCGCGUGGAUCAUCCGAUGAUUCUCACUGUGCACUCAGACCUGAUCAGGACAGCAUCUGUCUAGCGGGAGGAUAUAGGGAUCUAGUCAACGUAGCUCCGUCAUGCAACUGUGAUUUCCCUGGACGUUACUGCUUGCUAGCGACUAAGCAUCAGCUUCAGCAUGAGUCUAGCUAUGCAAUGCAGCUACUCUGCUAUGAAUCGACAGUAUGCCAUGCAUCGCUCGGAAGUAUUA
rnacentral:rRNA from 1 species